rnacentral:rRNA from 1 species
CUCCCGGCCCGUCAACGACGCUCAUGCUCGAAGGCGCGGGUAUCAAACAGGAUUAGGUACCCUGGUAGUCCGCGCAGUAAACGAUGGACACUCGCGGUUUGGCCCUUGUGGCUGAGCCGCCCAGCGAAAGCGUUAAGUGUCCCACCUGGGGAGUACGCCGGCAACGGUGAAACUCAAAGGAAUUGACGGGGGCCCGCACAAGCGGAGGAACAUGUGGUUUAAUUCGAUGAUACGCGAGGAACCUUACCCGGGCUUGAAAUGUGCAUGACGGGAGGCAGAGACGCCUCCUUCCUUCGGGCAUGCAUGUAGGUGCUGCAUGGUUGUCGUCAGCUCGUGCCGUGAGGUGUCGGCUUAAGUGCCAUAACGAGCGCAACCCCUUCCGCCGGUUACCAUCGGGUCAUGCCGGGGACUCCGGCGGCACUGCCGCCGCAAGGCGCGAGGAAGGCGGGGAUGACGUCAAAUCAGCACGGCCCUUACGUCCGGGGCCACACACGUGUUACAAUGGGGGGCACAGCGAGCUGGACCAGGGCGACCUGGUUCGAAUCAUGAAAUCCCCUCCCAGUUCGGACUGGAGUCUGCAACCCGACUCCACGAAGCCGGA